UACGUAGGUGGCAAGCGUUAUCCGGAAUUAUUGGGCGUAAAGCGCGCGCAGGUGGUUUCUUAAGUCUGAUGUGAAAGCCCACGGCUCAACCGUGGAGGGUCAUUGGAAACUGGGAGACUUGAGUGCAGAAGAGGAAAGUGGAAUUCCAUGUGUAGCGGUGAAAUGCGUAGAGAUAUGGAGGAACACCAGUGGCGAAGGCGACUACCUGGCCUGUUCUUGACGCUGAGGCGCGAAAGCUAGGGGAGCAAACGGG
rnacentral:rRNA from 1 species